rnacentral:rRNA from 1 species
GCGGCGGACGGGUGAGUAACGCGUGGGUAACCUACCCUGUACACACGGAUAACAUACCGAAAGGUAUGCUAAUACGGGAUAAUAUAUUUGGGAGGCAUCUCUUAAAUAUCAAAGGUGAGCCAGUACAGGAUGGACCCGCGUCUGAUUAGCUAGUUGGUAAGGUAACGGCUUACCAAGGCGACGAUCAGUAGCCGACCUGAGAGGGUGAUCGGCCACAU